rnacentral:rRNA from 1 species
GAUGAACGCUAGCUACAGGCUUAACACAUGCAAGUCGAGGGGUAACAAGAGAAAAGCUUGCUUUUCUUGUUGACGACCGGCGCACGGGUGAGUAACGCGUAUCCAACCUGCCUAUAACUAGGGAAUAACCUUGCGAAAGUAAGACUAAUACCCUAUGAUUUCCUUUGAUGACAUCAGAUUAGGAAUAAAGAUUUAUCGGUUAUAGAUGGGGAUGCGUAUGAUUAGCUUGUUGGCGGGGUAACGGCCCACCAAGGAAACGAUCAGUAGGGGUUCUGAGAGGAAGGUCCCCCACAUUGGAACUGAGACACGGUCCAAACUCCUACGGGAGGCAGCAGUGAGGAAUAUUGGUCAAUGGGCGGAAGCCUGAACCAGCCAAGUAGCGUGCAGGAUGACGGCCCUAUGGGUUGUAAACUGCUUUUAUACAGGAAUAAAGUUAGCCACGUGUGGUUAUUUGUAGGUACUGUAUGAAUAAGGAUCGGCUAAUUCCGUGCCAGCCGCCGCGGUAA